ACAUCCAGCGAACUUGGCAGAGAUGCCUUGGUGCCUUCGGGAACGCUGAGACAGGUGCUGCAUGGCUGUCGUCAGCUCGUGUUGUGAAAUGUUGGGUUAAGUCCCGNAACGAGCGCGACCCUUAUCCUUUGUUGCCAGCGAUUCGGUCGGGAACUCAAAGGAGACUGCCGGUGAUAAACCGGAGGAAGGUGGGGAUGACGUCAAGUCAUCAUGGCCCUUACGAGUAGGGCUACACACGUGCUACAAUGGCGCAUACAAAGAGAAGCGACCUCGCGAGAGCAAGCGGACCUCAUAAAGUGCGUCGUAGUCCGGAUCGGAGUCUGCAACUCGACUCCGUGAAGUCGGAAUCGCUAGUAAUCGUGGAUCAGAAUGCCACGGUGAAUACGUUCCCGGGCCUUGUACACACCGCCCGUCACACCAUGGGAGUGGGUUGCAAAAGAAGUAGGUAGCUUAACCUCCGGGAGGGCGCUUACCACUUUGUGAUUCAUGACUGGGGUGAAGUCGUAACAAGGUAGGCGUAGCGAG
rnacentral:rRNA from 1 species